CCGUGAAGACUUUUAAAAUAGAGACCAACGUGGCCGGGCAGGAAGAGCAGGGUCCCGCCUUCAGGUGUUUGGGACUCAGCUGAGGGUGUGGGUGCCCCGCGGUGGGGGCUGAACCUUCCUGGGGUGUGGAGAGACGAAAGGAGCCCAGAUCCAAGUUCCCUCGUUCCCGCUUUGGCAUAAGUUGCCCUGGCGGUCUCAUGAGAGAGAGAAAGAGCUGGGACCCUCCUCGCCCCAGUGAGUGUGAUGUCUUGCUCCGGGUGUCCUGGGGCAACUUUCUAUACAGGCGGGACGUGGGAGGAUCAGACAGUGUAACAUCAGACAAGGGUGUUGACUCUGCAGCACAGAACCAGUAGUUUGUGGAGAAGAAUGGAGGUGUGGUGUUGAAUCUGCUAGACAGGCUACUGAAGCAAAAGUCAAGAGAUCCAGAUUCCAUCAUGGGGACACUUUAGUUCUUCAUCGGGUAAUUGAGCUGAUAUCAGGUGUCUGAAGGAGGCAAGUUUUGAAGAUGUGGGUCAUGAUGGCUGCUGAAGCUUCCACUCCAUAUUUGAAGGUCAGCAGUUCUCAGGAAACCUCUAGCACUUCCAUCCCUGGUGGGAUGUGAUGCCUGUCUCAGUGUGACAUGCAUAAAGGAAUUUCUUAUUGAGCCCCAGGAAGAAGAAACACUACAUAAGAGCAAAUAAUAAAAUCGGUCAGAUAGACAGAAGAUGGGAGUCAUCAAACCUGUAUCCCUCUUGCCAGACCUAUCAACUGACCAUACGUCAUUCAGGAGGCAGCAGGUGGCUGAAAUCCUGGUGUGAUGUGGCUGGAUCAUGCAUGAUCUGAGGACUCCUGCACAGGGCACAAUUAUUUUAUCUUGGAACCAACAAUCUUCGGAGAAUGUAUCCCAAAGAUACAAUUCAAAAAGAUAAAAAGGCAGAAGCACAAGGUCAUUCUUGGCAGAACAAAUUGUAACAGCAGAAGACUGGAAAUAAGACAGAUGUCCACCAAUAAAGGACUGACUGAAUAAUCUAAGGUGCAUCUACAUCCUAGAUUUCAAUGCCGGUAUAACAAGCAAGGAAGAUUCCCUCUCUCUGCUGCUAUGUAGUGAUUUCCAGGAUAUACCAUUAAGUGAAUAAAGCAAAGUGCAGAAAAAUGUGUAGAGCUGCUGUUGUCCCAUACCAUACCCACUGGCCACUCAUGGCUAUUUAAGUUAACUAAAUUUAAAUGGAAUUUUAAAUUCACUUCCUCAGUCACACUCACCACAUUUUAGGUGUUUAAUAGUCACAG
rnacentral:lncRNA from 1 species